GAUGAACGCUGGCGGCGUGCCUAAUACAUGCAAGUCGGACGGAGCGCUUCGGCGCUCAGUGGCGAACGGGUGAGUAGCACAUGGGCAACCUGCCCUUCAGAGGGGGAUAACAGUUAGAAAUGACUGCUAAUACCGCAUGAGACCACAGCUCUGCAUGGAGCAGUGGCUAAAGGAGAAAUCCGGUGAAGGGUGGGCUCGCGUCCGAUUAGCUAGCUGGCAGGGUGAUAGCCUACCAAGGCGACGAUCGGUAGCCGACCUGAGAGGGUGAUCGGCCACAUUGGAACUGAGACACGGUCCAA
rnacentral:rRNA from 1 species